rnacentral:misc_RNA from 1 species
AACGGUCUAUACCUGCGGUACCUGCGGAAGGAUCAUUAAUGAGAAACUGCCCCUCGCGGGUAGAUCUCCCACCCUUUGUAAACUUACCUUUGUUGCUUUGGCAGGCCCGUCUCCGGACCGCCGGCUUCGGCUGGCCAGUGCCUGCCAGAGGAUUCUAAAACUCUGUCUGUCAGUGUUGUCUGAGUCUAUAUACAAUCGUUAAAACUUUCAACAAUGGAUCUCUAGAUCGGAAGAGCACAC